CCCUUUCCGGGGUACACGAGUGGCGAACGGGUGAGUAACACGUGGGUGAUCUGCCCUGCACUUUGGGAUAAGCCUGGGAAACUGGGUCUAAUACCGAAUAUGACCAUGGGAUGCAUGUCUCGUGGUGGAAAGCUUUUGCGGUGUGGGAUGGGCCCGCGGCCUAUCAGCUUGUUGGUGGGGUUACGGCCUACCAAGGCGACGACGGGUAGCCGGCCUGAGAGGGUGUCCGGCCACACUGGGACUGAGAUACGGCCCAGACUCCUACGGGAGGCAGCAGUGGGGAAUAUUGCACAAUGGGCGAAAGCCUGAUGCAGCGACGCCGCGUGAGGGACGAAGGCCUUUCGGGUUGUAAACCUCUUUCAGCACAGACGAAGCGCAAGUGACGGUAUGUGCAGAAGAAGGACCGGCCAACUACGUGCCAGCAGCCGCGGUAAUACGUAGGGUCCGAGCGUUGUCCGGAAUUACUGGGCGUAAAGAGCUCGUAGGUGGUUUGUCGCGUUGUUCGUGAAAACUCACAGCUCAACUGUGGGCGUGCGGGCGAUACGGGCAGACUGGAGUACUGCAGGGGAGACUGGAAUUCCUGGUGUAGCGGUGGAAUGCGCAGAUAUCAGGAGGAACACCGGUGGCGAAGGCGGGUCUCUGGGCAGUAACUGACGCUGAGGAGCGAAAGCGUGGGGAGCGAACAGGAUUAGAUACCCUGGUAGUCCACGCCGUAAACGGUGGGUACUAGGUGUGGGUUUCCUUCCUUGGGAUCCGUGCCGUAGCUAACGCAUUAAGUACCCCGCCUGGGGAGUACGGCCGCAAGGCUAAAACUCAAAGAAAUUGACGGGGGCCCGCACAAGCGGCGGAGCAUGUGGAUUAAUUCGAUGCAACGCGAAGAACCUUACCUGGGUUUGACAUGCACAGGACGUGCCUAGAGAUAGGUAUUCCCUUGUGGCCUGUGUGCAGGUGGUGCAUGGCUGUCGUCAGCUCGUGUCGUGAGAUGUUGGGUUAAGUCCCGCAACGAGCGCAACCCCUAUCUUAUGUUGCCAGCGCGUGAUGGCGGGGACUCGUAAGAGACUGCCGGGGUCAACUCGGAGGAAGGUGGGGAUGACGUCAAGUCAUCAUGCCCCUUAUGUCCAGGGCUUCACACAUGCUACAAUGGCCGGUACAAAGGGCUGCGAUGCCGCAAGGUGGAGCGAAUCCUUUAAAGCCGGUCUCAGUUCGGAUCGGGGUCUGCAACUCGACCCCGUGAAGUCGGAGUCGCUAGUAAUCGCAGAUCAGCAACGCUGCGGUGAAUACGUUCCCGGGCCUUGUACACACCGCCCGUCACGUCAUGAAAGUCGGUAACACCCGAAGCCGGUGGCCUAACCCCUCGUGGGAGGGAGCC
rnacentral:rRNA from 1 species